rnacentral:rRNA from 1 species
UACGAAGGGGGCUAGCGUGGCUCGGAAUCACUGGGCGUAAAGGGUGCGUAGGCGGGUCUUUAAGUCAGGGGUGAAAUCCUGGAGCUCAACUCCAGAACUGCCUUUGAUACUGAGGAUCUUGAGUUCGGGAGAGGUGAGUGGAACUGCGAGUGUAGAGGUGAAAUUCGUAGAUAUUCGCAAGAACACCAGUGGCGAAGGCGGCUCACUGGCCCGAUACUGACGCUGAGGCACGAAAGCGUGGGGAGCAAACAGG